rnacentral:misc_RNA from 1 species
GGGAGAUCAGAGCCGUUGAUUUGGCUUUAGACCGGUGGCUAUGGUUAGAUUCGCGACGGCUCAAGACUGCAACCGUCGAAGAUGCCUGGCCCAUUCACGCAGACUAGAGAAAUUGAAUGGUUGUGAUUCGCAGCUUCAGGCUUCAACCUCUCGUCCUGGCCGCCUCCACAGUAGAGCUUAGAGCUGCUGCUUUCUCAGUGACGUUGAUCGGUCUUUCUUCUUCGAAACGUUCAACGAUGGACCUGAAACCGGAUUUCAUUUCCCCUUUUUUUCUUUUUGACCUUUUUAAU